rnacentral:lncRNA from 1 species
UCGUCUUCGUACUCAUAAGUCGUUUUCGAUGAUAGAGCUUCCGAAUCAACGAUCCAUACCGUUAAAUAUUUUCUAGAGCAUUUAAAAUUUUUAGAAAUUAAAUUUCAUAAUUUUUAGACAUCAUUUACCUUACGAUCAAAAGCUCAUAAAAUUGACAAUUUUUAACGGCCGGUAUGGAAUACUUGCUAGUUUAACGGUGCAAAAAAUCCAAAUAGGUUGAAUUUUUUAUAGAAAAUUCUAUUCACUACCUUUAUAAAGAUCAAUAACUCCGAUUUUAAAUUGAAGAAUCCGAUCAUCCAUUUUUAUGACGUCGUUCGAUUUUGACCUUUCAUUUUAUGCUCGCUUGAUGGACAUUAUUAUGAUUUCGAAAAAUUACGAAAUUUAUUUUCUAGAAGUUUCGAAUACUCUAGAUCAUAUUUAACGAAGUGGAUCGUCGAUUCGGAAUCUCCAUCAUCGAAAACAACUUAUGAGUACGAAGUGCCUAAUACCCAUAAGAGUAUAGUAGCCCUACUAAUUGAACAUUAUAUUUAUUCUUGUCAU